AUGGAGCUGGCGACGAUGGUGACGCUGACGCUGUUGGCCCUCUCGGCGGCGACGCUGGCGCGGCUGCUGGUGGAGCGGGCGCGGAGGCGGCGGUGCUAUCUGCUGGACUACGUGUGCUACAAGGGGACGGACGACCGCAAGCUCCCCACGGAUCUGUGCGGCGAGAUCAUCCAGCGGAACAAGCUGCUGGGGCUGGAGGAGUACAAGUUCCUGCUCAAGGUCAUCGUCAACUCCGGCAUCGGCGAGGACACGUACGGCCCGCGCAACAUCAUCGCGGGGGGCGACGCGAGCCCCGACCGCGUCGCCGAGGGCAUGGAGGAGAUGGACGAGACGUUCCACGCCGUGCUCGACGAGCUGUUCGCCAGGUCGGCCGCGCCGGGCGGGCUGGGCCUGCGCCCCGCCGACGUGGACCUGCUCGUCGUCAACGUGUCCAUGUUCUCCCCGGCGCCGUCCCUGUCGGCGAGGGUGGUGCGCCGCUACGGCCUCCGGGAGGACGUGAAGGUGUUCAACCUCACCGGCAUGGGCUGCAGCGCCACCCUCAUCGCCCUCGACCUCGCCAACAACUUCUUCAGAACGCACGCGAACAAGGUGGCACUGGUGAUGACGUCGGAGUCGAUCGCGCCCAACUGGUACCCGGGGAACAGGCGCUCCUUCAUGCUGGGGAACUGCCUCUUCCGCUCCGGCGGCUGCGCCUACUUCCUCACCAACUCGCCGCGGCUGCGCCCCCACGCCAAGCUGCGGCUCCGCCACGUCGUGCGCACGCACACGGGCGCCUCCGACGAGGCCUACAACUGCGCGCUCCAGAUGGAGGACGACGCCGGCCGCCCCGGCUUCCACCUCGGGAAGGAACUCCCCCGCGCCGCCGUGCACGCCUUCGUCAAGAACCUCCGCGUGCUGUCGCCCCGCGUGCUCCCGCUCCCGGAGCUCCUCCGCCUCGCCUACGCCACGCUCUCGGCGCGCUUCCUCACGCGCACCAACAAGAAGAAGCCGUCCUCGGCGCUCACCAUCCGGAUGAAGGCCGGGGUGGACCACUUCUGCGUGCACACCGGCGGCGCCGCCGUCAUCGACGGCGUCGGCAAGGGGCUCACCCUCACGGAGCACGACAUCGAGCCGUCGCGCAUGACGCUGCACCGCUUCGGCAACACCUCGGCCAGCAGCGUCUGGUACGUGCUGUCCUACAUGGAGGCCAAGAAGCGGCUCAACAAGGGCGACCGCGUGCUCAUGCUCACCUUCGGCGCCGGGUUCAAGUGCAACAGCUGCGUCUGGACGGUGGAGAGGCCCUCCGCCGACGCCGGCGUGUGGGCGGACUGCAUCCACGAGUACCCGCCCAAGGAGAUCAGGAACCCAUUCAUGGAGAAGUACGGCUUCGUCAAGGACAUGAGCGCCUUGUGA
rnacentral:rRNA from 1 species